rnacentral:rRNA from 1 species
UUCCUACGGGGCGCAGCAGUGAGGAAUAUUGGUCAAUGGGCGGAAGCCUGAACCAGCCAAGUCGCGUGAGGGAAUAAGGCCCUACGGGUCGUAAACCUCUUUUGCCGGGGAGCAAGGGCCGGGACGCGUCCCGGCCCGGAGAGUACCCGGAGAAAAAGCAUCGGCUAACUCCGUGCCAGCAGCCGCGGUAAUACGGAGGAUGCGAGCGUUAUCCGGAUUUACUGGGUGUAAAGGGAGCGCAGGCGGCACGGCAAGCCUGAUGUGAAAGCCCGCGGCCCAACCGCGGGACUGCAUUGGGAACUACC